rnacentral:lncRNA from 1 species
CCCCCUCUCUGCCCUCACGGUUUUGUUUCUGGGAGCUCACGAGCAACUUCCCAGUGGGUCACCCAUCCUGGGAUUGCUCUGGCCCCCAACUCGCUUAACUUCGGAGUUCCUACGACUUCGAAGCCAGUGAGCUCCCAAAAGGCCUCGUGCUAGAUGGAUGCGGGUGUGCACAUAUAAGGCACAUCACCCCCCCUCCGUUGGUUGAUGUGGGAUCUUACAAUCCACCCCCCUUAAGGGCCCGACGUCCUCGUCGGCACACUCGCACCACACGACAGAGUGGCUCUGAUACCAAAUUGUCACACCCCGGGAUCGGCUCCGCCGUAGCACGAUAUUGUCCGCUUUGGGCCCCCCUCUCUGCCCUCACGGUUUUGUUUUUGGGAACUCACGAGCAACUUCCCAGUGGGUCACCCAUCCUGGGAUUGCUCCAGCCCCCAACUCGCUUAACUUCGGAGUUCCUACGACUCCGAAGCCAAUGAGCUCCCAAAAGGCCUCGUGCUAGAUGGAUGCGGGUGUGCACAUAUAAGGCACAUCACCC